UACGUAGGUGGCAAGCGUUAUCCGGAUUUACUGGGUGUAAAGGGCGUGUAGGCGGGGACGCAAGUCAGAUGUGAAAACCACGGGCUCAACCUGUGGCCUGCAUUUGAAACUGUGUUUCUUGAGUACUGGGGAGGCAGACGGAAUUCCUAGUGUAGCGGUGAAAUGCGUAGAUAUUAGGAGGAACACCAGUGGCGAAGGCGGUCUGCUGGACAGCAACUGACGCUGAGGCGCGAAAGCGUGGGGAGCAAACAGG
rnacentral:rRNA from 1 species